rnacentral:rRNA from 1 species
AGUGAACGCUGGCGGUAGGCCUAACACAUGCAAGUCGAACGGCAGCACAGUAAGAGCUUGCUCUUACGGGUGGCGAGUGGCGGACGGGUGAGGAAUACAUCGGAAUCUACUUUUUCGUGGGGGAUAACGUAGGGAAACUUACGCUAAUACCGCAUACGACCUACGGGUGAAAGCAGGGGAUCUUCGGACCUUGCGCGAUUGAAUGAGCCGAUGUCGGAUUAGCUAGUUGGCGGGGUAAAGGCCCACCAAGGCGACGAUCCGUAGCUGGUCUGAGAGGAUGAUCCGCCAAACUGGAACCUGGAACAGGUCCAGACUCCUAAGGGAAGCAGGCGUGGGGAAUAUUGGACAAUGGGCGCAAGCCUGAUCCAGCCAUACCGCGUGGGUGAAGAAGGCCUUCGGGUUGUAAAGCCCUUUUGUUGGGAAAGAAAAGCAGCAGGUUAAUACCCCGCUGUUCUGACGGUACCCAAAGAAUAAGCACCGGCUAACUUCGUG